rnacentral:rRNA from 1 species
UACGAAGGGGGCUAGCGUUGUUCGGAUUCACUGGGCGUAAAGGGUGCGUAGGUGGCCUGAAAAGUUUGAUGUGAAAGCUCAGGGCUUAACCCUGAAAUGGCAUUGAAUACUGUCGGGCUGGAGGUUUGGAGGGGGGACUGGAAUUCUUGGUGUAGCAGUGAAAUGCGUAGAUAUCAAGAGGAACACCAGUGGCGAAGGCGAGUCCCUGGACAACACCUGACACUGAGGCACGAAAGCUAGGGGAGCAAACAGG